rnacentral:rRNA from 1 species
AGCAGCCGCGGUAAUUCCAGCUCCAAUAGCGUAUAUUAAAGUUGUUGCAGUUAAAAAGCUCGUAGUUGAACUUCGGGGUUUACCCAUUGGUCAGGCUUAAUUGUCUGUACUGGUGAGAUGAAUCUCUACCUUCUGAGGAACUUUCAUGCCAUUUAUUUGGUGUGAUGGGAAAUCAGGACUGUUAUUUGAAAAAUUAGAGUGUUUAAAGCAGGCUAACGUCUGAAUACAUUAGCAUGGAAUAAUGAAAUAGGACGGACUGAUUCUAUUUCGUUGGUUUCUAGGAUCACCGUAAUGAUUAAUAGGGAUAGUUGGGGGCAUUAGUAUUCAAUUGUCAGAGGUGAAAUUCUUGGAUUUAUUGAAGACUAACUACUGCGAAAGCAUUUGCCAAGGAUGUUUUCAUUAAUCAAGAACGAAAGUUAGGGGAUCGAAGACGAUCAGAUACCGUCGUAG